rnacentral:rRNA from 1 species
UACGUAGGCAGCAAGCGUUGUUCGGAAUUACUGGGCGUAAAGAGUGUGUAGGCGGUGCUCUAAGUUCGGUGUGAAAUCUCCCGCUUAACUGGGAGGGUGCGCCGGAAACUGGAGUGCUCGAGCGUGGGAGAGGAAAGCGGAAGUUCCUGGUGUAGCGGUGAAAUGCGUAGAUAUCAGGAGGAACACCAAUUGCGAAGGCAGCUCGCUGGGACGUUACUGACGCUGAGACGCGAAAGCGUGGGGAGCAAACAGG